rnacentral:misc_RNA from 1 species
GGUGUAUUACAUGAACAACUAGAUUAUGAUAUAAACUUAAUUGUGGACAAAUGGAUUGAAUUGAGGACAAAAAUGGAAGAUGACUUGUGAAGAGUGCAGGACAUCAAAGACAAGUGGAACACAAUUAUUCAAAUUAUGAAAAGGGGGUAAUAUUGUAAACUUGAGACAAGAUCUUACUUCUAAUGGAAAAGAAUGGUGCAAAAUGAGUUUGAUCAUUUUAGUUGCUAUUGAAGUUUAGUUGAGUUCUAUGCUGCUUGAAUGGGCUUCCAAAUUAUAUGCAAUCCUUUCUGAAAACACUCUUAUGGGAGCAAUUUGCAACUUUUUAAUGUCCUUGGCAUGUCUUCGUUGGCCUUUUUAGCCUGCAAUCUUUUCUAAUGACAAUCAUGGAUGAGAGCAAUUUGCACUCUUUAUUGUCCUUGGCAUGUCUUUACUAUUCUUUUUGGGCUUUUGGCUAUUUUUUUUUGUUACAUGACCCAAAAACUUUUGGCUGGCUUAAUUUUACCUAUCGGCCCUUAACUUAAGGGGUUAUUUUAGCACCGUCCUUCAAUUUCAAUUUGUAUUAUAAAUAUCCUUUAAUUUCAAUUU